GCACGGCAGCAACAUCGGCGGCCCAGCAGCAACUACAAUAACAAGCAGCAGCUAGUUAGUUAGUUUUGAGCUCGUAGUAGUGAGAGUCGAUCGCAUACACAAAAGCAAGUUGCUUAAGUCGCUCAAAGCGCCAUUUAAGUUGAGUAAUUAAAACAAGCGAUAUGUAUAUAUAUAUAUGUAUAUCUGAGUGUGUGUGCGAGUGCGAUUAAUUAUUAAUCAAGCCGAAAAAACAACAAGCAACCGCUAAGGCAACAAUAACAAACAAGCCAGACUCACAAUUACAAUAUUUCAACUCUCUCAGUCGCCGUCUUCGGUUCACAGUCUCCAGUCUACAGUCUACACAGUCUUCACAAUCUUCACAGACCUCAGUCUUCUUCUGUCUUCUGUCUCAGCUCGGCGAUCUCGACUUUCUUUGGACCUCUCUUCAGCUCUAAAAGCUGUUACACAUUUGACUUUUCGGCGCUGCGGCCAACUGCUGCCGCCUCUGUCUUUCUUCCCCGUAUUGUCUUUGCCACAGGAACACAACAAGUGCAACACAACAACAACAACAACACACGGCAAGGAGUAGAAAAAGCACAACAAGCAUGCUGACAACAUCGACUUCAUCGUUCGCCGUGUGUCGUGUAUUAAAACUUGUUCAUUGGAAUUUUCUAAUAAAUCAAUAAACGCA